AUUGAACGCUGGCGGCAGGCCUAACACAUGCAAGUCGAGCGGAGCGGCGGACGGGUGAUUAAUGCCUCGGCAUCUGCCUGGUCGUGGGGGAUAACGUCCGGCAACGGGCGAUAAUACCGCAUACUAUCAGAUGAGCCUAGGUCGGAUUAGCUAGUUGGUGGGGUAAAGGCCUACCAAGGCGACGAUCCGUAACUGGUCUGAGAGGAUGAUCAGUCAAACUGGAACUGAGAGACGGUCCAGACUCCUACGGGAGGCAGCAGUGGGGAAUAUUGGACAAUGGGCGAAAGCCUGAUCCAGCCAUGACGAGUGUGUGAAGAAGGUCUUCGGAUAGUAAAGCACUUUAAGUUGGGAGGCGUUACCAACAGAAUAAGCACCGGCUAACUUCGUGCCAGCAGCCGCGGUAAUAC
rnacentral:rRNA from 1 species